CGUGCGUGGAUUUAGUUAAUCGGCUGGUCAAAGCGGUGCCCACUACCGAAUGAUUCAAGCGUUCGUUUUGCCUCAACCUUUUCUUUUCUCGGAUUCCUUUUUCUCUCCGCUCUCCUCUUUUCCAUUGCCGCCGGCGCCACAUCCUUCCAGGGCCGGCGCCUUCCUCUCUCGCUCUGUCCGCCGCUCCGUGCGGAUUUAAGUGUAGUGGACGUGUACGUGCUCGCCGGCUGAGCGAACGAAUAUGAGCGGUGGCCCUGCCCUACAGCGAGACCCUGGCAGAGCUGUGUGUCAGGCGGCCAUGGAGAGGGUCGGCUCCGGUGUAGCGGCCGUCGAGGAGAUGCUCCGGCUCCCCCAAUCAUUCUCCACCUGUGCCAUCCUUCUAUUUGCGACCAAGAUAGUAGAACCCUGGAAGAAGCUUUCAUGGCGGCUGCUCCUCCGCCCCCUUGGUCCGGUCGUCUCCUCUCCUUCCUCGCUGGAGUGUGAAGGAGGUGACGCGCGCUGCGAGGCUGCGGGUGAACUCGCCGUGCGAAACCCUCCGCGUCGAGGCCUCGUGUCUUCUCCAGGACCGGCCGCUGCCUCCCCCGUCAUUCCACAGCAGGUUCUCUAGCGUGUUUGUCCCCAGCUCUUCAGAUCUGUUCGUUUUUUUCUUGGCCGCCGCAUACUGGGACUCUGGGAGACCACUUAAUGUUUGCUUAUAUCCACAUGGUUUCCUCUUGAGUACAGGAAGUUGCUUCAGUUCAUCAGUCGAUGCUUCGCUUUUGGUCGAUGAGAGGUGGUUUCCUGUCAUUUGUUUCUGACAAGCGUUUCAGGUUUCACUUUCCUUUGAAUUGUCGUUGUGGUCCUUGCCAGGGUUCUGCUGCUCACUAGCAACUAAGAUUUGGUAGGACGAUUUGGCCACGAAGCUUGGUUUUUCUGACCAGAAGAGGAACCUGCCAAUGGCAUAGUCAACAAUCGCUAGGGGAACACGAUAGAGGGAGCUGUGUACCAGCCAACUGCGUCGAUCAAUUCAGAGACUAAUGGAAGGAAGGCUUGAUCUACAUUUGAGAUGUUCAUUGCCGCGGGGGCACGAAAGAAGUGCAGAACGGCAGAGCAUCCGUACAUCAUCAACUUUGUUCAAUGUACAACGAUACAGGAAGUUACUCUUCAGCCUGAGAAUAUGCCUCUGUUUGCAUAUAAGGCUUAUCCAUUUGAUGUUAUGGAAGCAUGUAUUCAACAAUACUAUUCUACUGAUGCAGCCUAAACUCAGUUAUUGUUGUGUAACCUAAGUAAUAUUUUGACCCAGUAUUUCCUGUUCAGCCUAGAUUUGUCCCGGUCAUUCUCUUUUGUUCCAUAGCAUAUCUAGGGUAUUUGCAUCAGCUUCUGCAUUGGUGUUUCAUAGCGCAAGCCUUUUUAGGUGAUGAUAAUGUUAUAUUUCUUCAUUUAUUAUAUGCCUAUUCUUUAUCCAUCAUAAAGUUGGGCUAUAAAA